AGUGAACGCUGGCGGUAGGCCUAACACAUGCAAGUCGAACGGCAGCACAGUAAGAGCUUGCUCUUACGGGUGGCGAGUGGCGGACGGGUGAGGAAUACAUCGGAAUCUACUUUUUCGUGGGGGAUAACGUAGGGAAACUUACGCUAAUACCGCAUACGACCUACGGGUGAAAGCAGGGGAUCUUCGGACCUUGCGCGAUUGAAUGAGCCGAUGUCGGAUUAGCUAGUUGGCGGGGUAAAGGUCCACCAAGGCGACGAUCCGUAGCUGGUCUGAGAGGAUGAUCAGCCACACUGGAACUGAGACACGGUCCAGACUCCUACGGGAGGCAGCAGUGGGGAAUAUUGGACAAAGGGCGCAAGCCUGAUCCAGCCAUACCGCGUGGGUGAAGAAGGCCUUCGGGUUGUAAAGCCCUUUUGUUGGGAAAGAAAAGCAGCAGGUUAAUACCCCGCUGUUCUGACGGUACCCAAAGAAUAAGCACCGGCUAACUUCGUG
rnacentral:rRNA from 1 species